AUAUGCGUCAAUAGCAGAUUUGUUGAAAUGCAGAUUCUAAGUCAGUUGGUCUGGGUAGGGCCAAGCUUCUGCAUUUCUGGCAAGAUCCCAGGUGAUGCUGGU
rnacentral:miRNA from 1 species